AACGUAGGUGGCAAGCGUUGUCCGGAAUUACUGGGUGUAAAGGGAGCGCAGGCGGAAAGGUAAGUUGGGAGUGAAAACUAUGGGCUCAACCCAUAAAUUGCUUUCAAAACUAUUUUUCUUGAGUGGUGUAGAGGUAGGCGGAAUUCCCGGUGUAGCGGUGGAAUGCGUAGAUACCGGGAGGAACACCAGUGGCGAAGGCGGCCUACUGGGCACUAACUGACGCUGAGGCUCGAAAGCAUGGGUAGCAAACAGG
rnacentral:rRNA from 1 species